AGUGCCCGGAGGGGGCGGAGAGAGGGGUGAGCGAGCCUGCGGGGGGGGGGGCUGGCGGGGGCGCCCCAGCCUGAUUGGGCCCCUCAGGCGCGCCCUUCGGCUCGGAGCGCGGCCUCCCCGCGGCCCCGCGCACGCCGCCUCCUCCAGGCUGGCCGCGGGAGCUCCCGCGGGGCCACGCGCGCUGCGCGGGGCGCGAAGAAUCGCAGGAAGACGUUUGAACUCGGGACCUUCCUGUGAUUUCCUUUUCGGAGCCCUGGAGUUACUCGGAAUUACAGAGUAUUUGUGUUUUUAGCCGUUCAUCCUGACUGGUUGUGACAUGAAGAGGACGUUGGUGGAAGGGAGCAGGGACUGGACUCGGGUCCUCUCGACCCCGAGCGCAAAACCCAGCCUUGCGCAGCUGUCUCCGUUAGCACGAAACAAACCUCUGUGCGUCCCGAGUCGCGUGCCCUGCAGGGAUGCGGGGGGAGGGUGCGGGCCCCUGAGCUGGCGAGCACCGGACCAAACCAGUCUGCACCGGGACGGACCCCAGCGCUGACCUUCGGCGGACUCCGCCCUCCUGGGGACGUUAGAAGUCACCCCUGGGGUGCAGAUUUAACGUGUUAAGUGGACCUGCCACGCGGGAAGGAGCGCGAUCUUUACGCGCGCAGGUGCGGAUACACCCCCGCCUCCACCUGCUUGUACUAAACCCUUUCCCCACCUACGUUUCCGUAAAAAACCCUCCGUGACCGCCGCUCGGGGAGCCAGCCCGAGAAUUCCUUCCUUCCGGCGGCCUCGUUGCGCGGAGCAGAAGUCCCCGUGAAGCCUUUCUGGGGCCCCCACGAGGCCUCCUGUCCAUUUCCAUUGCCUGGCGAGCCCGGGGCCUUGCUGGGUAUCAGCCGCGCUUCAGAAACCCUGAGGGACUAAUCAGUGUAACUGUGACGUAUAGACGGGGACCUGGCUCCAUGGGUGGAGACGGACGUGUAAACGAUUAGUAACGUUGCCUGGUCAGCGCGCAGCAGGAGGUGAGCCCCUAACUGCGUGUUGUCAGUCACAGAGGAAGGGGCCGCCCGUUCGCUGGGAAGCAGGAAAAGCGAGGAUCUUUCAUUACCUGGGAAUUCGAGUUGGUGAUCUCUUGUCUCUUAAGUUUUCUUUGCUUAUGGACAACUGUGGAAAUUGUCUUUCGGUGGCGUGUAAAUAAUUUUAGCAUUUUUCCCCCUAAUAGUAUUCCCUUACUGUUUCGUGAGUCAGAACGUGUCUGGCAUCUAGGUUGUCCUGCUCUUCGUGGGGUUUCCUACUUCUUUGCCACCCUGAAGAACCUCGAGGGGAAUCUCUCAACGGAGAGCGUGUAAUACGCUCUGUCGGGUUAUUUCAGUCCAGCAGACCACGAAGCAAGCGAAGCUGGACCUUGGACCCUCCAAGUUCCAGAGGACGCGGUGGGGCUGGUGACCCUGAAGGUGGAGCAAGAUGAACAUACUUGGAAAGGAGACUCCAGCUUUCGAAGGGAGAAAGCGCGUACCAGGGAGAUCUUUUGCAGGUGCUUCAGUUUUGCUCUCCAGAGACACCUGGACCCCUCGAGGCUCAGAGUCGCACCGGGCUCGGGGAGCUCUGCCGACGCUGGCGGCGGCCCGAGACGCACAGCAAGGAGCAGAUCGUGGAGCUGCUGGUGGGGGAGCAGUUCCUGACCCUCCUGCCCGAGGAGCUGCAGGCCCGGGUGCGGGAGCGGCCCCCGGAGAGCGGGGAGCAGGCGCUGGCUGUGCGGGAUGAGCCAGGAGAACAGGAUUUUUCAGGGCUUUUUCUCUUACGUCCGACGUUCUUCACUAAUUGAAGCCCUGAGGAAGAGAAGCAAAUAGCGGAACAUUGCUUGAACAAAUACCCAGCUACUAAAAUGAAUACAGAAAGUGACCUUUUCAGCAUGGAAACGAACCUCUCGCUGUGGUGCCAUUUCCUGUCACUCGGCUCAAGGUCAGCUUUCCGAACAGGGUGUUCUGGUAACUCCUAGAAUGUGUGCAGGGACGAGACUCACAUUUGGUGCAACCAGAAGCCACGCAAACCCCAGCUAGGACGUGCUGCCCAGAGAAAUUGCCGGCAUAGGUGGUGGCCUGUUCCUGGUGCUGUUGUUCUAAUCGGCUCGACUGAGAUAUACGAUAAAACUCAGCAAUUUUAAGAGUACAGUUUAAUGAGCUUUGACAAAUCAACGGCCAUAGAACUAUCCACACAGUGUUUUCAUAGCCUAGAAAUGUCCCUUCAUGCUCCUCUAAGUCAGUCCGUCCAUUUUCAGACCACUGGCAAACAUCAGUUUGCUUUCUCUCACUAUAGGUCACUUUAGUUUACUUAUCUAGAAUUUCAUAGAAUCACUUUUUUUUUAUUGACAACGAUGCUUUGGAGGUCCUGCUGUGUACUGCUGUGUUGUUGCAUGUGUAAUUCUUCCUCUUAUUGACGGGUAGAAUUUCAGUGUGUGGGUAUAGCAAAUUCACUUGCCAGUUAAUAGACAUUUGGGUUGGGUCUAGUCUUUGUCUGAAAAUAUGCUUUCACUUUUCUUGGGUAAGUAUACUUAGGGGCGGUAUUGCUGAGUUGGGUGGUAAGUGUACUUUAACGUUACAAGAAAACUGCCAAACUGAUUUCCAAACUAGUUGUGUUAUUUUGCAUUGCCUUUAGUAUUUGCUUUUUAUCAAGAAAACAUUACCCUAAAUAUUCAUUAAGGGUUCGCAUAAAUAUAGUGACAUAUUUGGCUCUUCAGCUUUAAAAAGUCAGUCUGAAUGAUUUUAUCUUUUUUUUAAAGAUUUUAUUUAUUUAUUUGACAGAGAGACAGAGAGAGCGAGAGAGCACAAGCAGGGGGAGCGGCAGAGGGAGAGGGAGAAGCAGGCCCCCCGCUGAGCAGGGAGACCCAGUGGGGCUUGGUCCUGGAUCAUGACCUGAGCGGAAGGCAGACGCCUCACCGGCUGAGCCCCCCAGGCGUCCCCCGAAUGAUUUUAUCUCACUUGUAAAUACAUAUUGCAAGGAAAGAUAAGCUUUAUCUAUAGAAGAUAUAAAGUAAUUGUAACUGAAUUUUCCUAAUCACAGGAAAGUCUAUACAGUCCUGGACUGAUGAAGUUAGAUCAGUGAGAUCGUGGUGACUUCAAGGACCCCACCAGGAGGCAGGAGGCCAGGCGGCUAAUACAAGUCGGGCAGACCAAACUGUAACUGUAACAAGUCGACCCUGGAUGACCCUAGCCAGCCAGGCCACAGGGCGCGGUGAUUCUAGGCCGGCAGCGAGGAGUGGGGGCAGGUGGACUCCACUUCCUCCUGUUGGUCCAUUUCCUCUCCAGGACUAAUGUGUUGUGAUCAUCGUAGCUUUAAAAUACAUUUUUUAAAAUUCUUUAAAUUUUUAUUUUUUUUAUUUAGCUUCAAGUUACCUAAUAUAAAGUGUAUUAUUAUUAGUUUCAGGGGUAGAAUUCAGUGAUUCAUCAGUUGAGUAUAAGACCCAGUGCUCAUUACAUCACCCAGUUACCCCAUCCCCCCACCGACCUCCCCUCCAGCAACCCUCAGUUUGUUUCCUAGAGUUAAGAGCCUCCUGUGGUUUGCCUCCCUCUUUUUCAUCUUAUUUUAUAAGCUAUAUUUUUAGUAUCUUGUAAGUCUCGUCCUCAUCACUGCUCUCUAACAGUGCUUUUCUGAUUAGUAUGUGUUUGUUUUUCCAGAUGAACAUUAAUAUCAUUCUAUUAUCUCCCUCCUUCAUUCCCUCCACUAUUUUUCUGUGUUUAUAUUUGGAUUACAUUGAAUUGCUAGAUUAAGAGCAAGGCAUAUAUUUCUAUUUAUUAAAGGCUUCCUUUUUUUUUUUUUAA